rnacentral:rRNA from 1 species
AACGAACGCUGGCGGCAGGCUGAACACAUGCAAGUCGAACGCCCCGCAAGGGGAGUGGCAGACGGGUGAGUAACGCGUGGGAAUCUACCUAGAACUACGGAACAACUGAGGGAAACUUCAGCUAAUACCGUAUACGCCCUACGGGGGAAAGAUUUAUCGGUUCUAGAUGAGCCCGCGUAAGAUUAGCUAGUUGGUGGGGUAAUGGCCUACCAAGGCGACGAUCUUUAGCUGGUCUGAGAGGAUGAUCAGCCACACUGGGACUGAGACACGGCACAGACUCCUACGGGAGGCAGCAGUGGGGAAUAUUGGACAAUGGGCGCAAGCCUGAUCCAGCCAUGCCGCGUGAGUGAUGAAGGCCUUAGGGUUGUAAAGCUCUUUCAGUGGGGAAGAUAAUGACGGUACCCACAGAAGAAGCCCCGGCUAACUUCGUGCCAGCCGCCGCGGUAAGAC